UACGUAGGGUGCGAGCGUUGUCCGGAAUUAUUGGGCGUGAAGAGCUUGUAGGCGGUUUGUCGCGUCUGCUGUGAAAAUCUGGGGCUCAACCCCGGACGUGCAGUGGGUACGGGCAGACUAGAGUGUGGUAGGGGAGACUGGAAUUCCUGGUGUAGCGGUGAAAUGCGCAGAUAUCAGGAGGAACACCGAUGGCGAAGGCAGGUCUCUGGGCCACUACUGACGCUGAGAAGCGAAAGCAUGGGGAGCGAACAGG
rnacentral:rRNA from 1 species